rnacentral:lncRNA from 1 species
GUAGCAGAGAGAUGGAAUAUUCUGUAUCAGUAUCAACACGGACAUGCAAUUAAGGCCAAGGCAGCAAUCAUAAAGGAGUUUAAGCUAAAAUAAUAGGGUAAAUCCUAAGAACUUCAUAUCUAGCUGCAAUCAAUAAAAUGUAAUAUUCAACAAGGAUAAAGAAUUUGUUUUAACAAUCAAAGAUGAUUGGAAUAGCAGCGCAGAACAAGUGACUUCUAUUAUUCAUACCUGCUAAUCCUAACUCAAGAUUCGAAACAGCUCUAACCAGAGCAAUCUCUUCAUACUCUAUGAGAAUCCCAUUAGGACCUUUGGACUACAGCAUAAAUACAUAGUAUGCAGCAAUCCCUAUCGAAGAGCCUUUUUCUACUCUGAACUUCUUUCUAAGUUUCUUCAACCACAUUAGUAUAUAUAUCCUAUCGAAGAAUAUACUGAGGCCUUUUUCUACUCUGAACUUCUUUCUAAGUUUCUUCAACCACAUUAGUAUAUAUAUCCUAUGGAAGAAGAUACUAAAGAAGCCAUCACGGUGUUGCAUAUAAAUAUCACAAAGGGCCAAGAGCCGAAGCAAUGAGACAGAUAACAAUCAGCAACAAUGAUCUAAAUGUUAGAUCUAUAUUGGCAUGUAAAAUGCAAUAAAAUCAAAUACAUACCAAUCCGCAGGAUCAUAAUCAGAAUUAAAAUAACUUACAGAGCACCAUAAAGAAGAAAUUUUUUAUCAAUCUACGGAAGCGAGAAGUUUGGCUGUAAUACGAACGUCAUUAUCUGAACCUCGGAUAAUCUGGGUAAUUCUUUACCACAAUGCAUGUAAAAAGGUAGCAAGAUCAGUACCCUUUAUUUAAAUAGAUGAAAAAAGGAUAAAACAUAUCAUAUCAAGCGAUCCUAUAACAUUAAGAAUUUAUCUUUAUUUAUGAUAAAUUCAGAUUUGAAUAUUAUUCAUUGGGACACCUUUAUGGAAAUCUUAACACUAAAACCAAUCAGGUCUCAGGCAUAAAAUCAAGAAUUUGUAGGAAGCACAUUCACGUUAUUGAUGGGUGCAAAAUCUACUCAGUGACUGGUUCGCGUGAAAGAUUGUUUUAUACUGAAUUAAGGUAUCUUUUCGACAAACACAAACAAUCAUAUAUUUGCCGCGUUUCGUGGCCUCAUCUCACACUAAGCGAUCAAGUAGUCGAUCCCAAUAAACAGAGCAAAAUGAAAUAACUGCAACCCUAGCGCAUAAAGAAUCGCUCCAUUGAGAUCCAGAUAAUCCCCUCAAGCGAAAUAGAUUGAAAUAAUGCAAUAUACAAUUCUUACCGGCGGCAUCUGGCGAUCGAGAACUGGGAGAAGCAAUGCGUGAGGUUUCCUCGAACUCUCCAUCGCCCUUCGUCCAAACCCUACCACCAUAGCAAGAUCUCCUCCUCUCUCUCUCUCUCUCUCUACGGAGAGACAAAAGAGGGAGAGGCGAUGGGAGAGGUUUCUUGAUCCAUCGCCAAAACCCUAUCUCUCUCUCCCCCCCUCUCCCUCUCGAUUUCUCUCUAGAUAGAGAAAGAAGCGAGGAGAGAGAUCCAUCAUCGUCAGGCGAGGAGAGAUCCAUCAUCGUCCUCCUCCCAUGGCGUAAACCCUCCCUCUCCCUCUCUA